rnacentral:tRNA from 2 species
GGGCGGGUGGCGGAACGGCAAACGCGCACGGCUUAGGACCGUGUGCCGCAAGGCUUGUGGGUUCGAGUCCCACCCCGCCCA